AAAAAAAAAAAAAAAAAAAAAAAGGCGCAAUUGCUUAUAUACCCUAAAAAGUUUUCGACUUUUCGAUUUACUCUUUUUAGAAGGCUAAUAUUAAAAAUAUUCUUUUUACGUUCCAACCUAUUUCUAAUAUACCCCUAGAGUUAAAAUCUGUUAAUUAACUCUGUUAUCUCUGUAGAAUUACUAUUUUGCCAUUUCAAANAAACUAGGUAUGGCUAUAAGUUUUGCUUAUUUAGAAGCAUAAUUAAAAAUUGUAUUUAUAAAUCUCAUUAUACGAUAUAUGCGACAAGUCCACUUAUAAAGUUUCCUCUGUAUCACAUAAAUUGUGUGUAAUUUCAACUCCAUCCACUCCUCUAAUGCCAAAAAAUGGUAUAAUAAUUGGUCAUUUUGGAUGCUGCAUCUACAUAAAGCUAUGAUACAACAAACUAAAUUUUGAAUAAUUAUAUUUUUGGUCCUCAAACUAUGAGUCAAGUGACUAUUUGGUCAUCAAACUUCAAUUCGUUAUAAGUGUUAGCUGAAACUUUAUGAAUUAUGAAUUAUUACAAUUAAGUUUCAAACCUAAUUUAGUUCAUUAAAUAUUGAUUGAAUUGCUAAUGUAAAAGUAAUUUAGUAUUUUAAUUAUUACCUAAUUAUCUAUUAUAAUACUGCUACAUCAUUUUUAUAUCACGAGCACAUCAAUAUUUACUCAACUAAAUUUAAUUAUUAUGCAUACUUAUAUAAUAAUUUAAAAUUUUCGAGACAAAAUAUUAUAAUAAAUUAGGGUUAAUUUCAUACAGGUUCCUAUAAAUAUAGUGAAUUGCAAAUAUAUUCCUAUAAAGUUCAACUUUUAUAUAUUGUCCCUACAAUAGUCCUAAUAUUUUCAAAUAUGUUCAUGCCUGUUAAAAUCCGUUAGAAAAAAUUAGUUAAUUAUAAAUAAAAUACUUAACCCUAGUUACUUAAUGAGGUGAAUUAAUCUUUUUAUUCAUCUUUAAUUAAUAGUUGAGACUUUUGGAGAAACAUGUUUGUAAUGACAAAAAUGUCAUUUCACUUAUAAAAUAAAUGGUGUUUUAACGGUAACAAAUCAGAGAGAUAUAUUUAAAAAUAUUAAGAUUUUUACAGAAAUGAUAUAUAAAAGUUGAACUUUUUAGAGAUGUAUUUAUAAUUUACUAUAUUUAUAGGGAUGUGUAUGAAAUUAAUUUAAUAAAUUAAUAUGGAGUACCAGUACGGUACGUCCCCAAUAGUUUGAGAACCAUAAUAAAUGUAAUUUAUCCUUUAAUUUAUCAAUAAAUAAAUUUAUUGCAACUCGUCACGAGUAUGCCGUGGGAAAAAGACGCAAUAAUCCAGGUGUCGCCCCGAGAACAAAAACAAAAGAAAAGCGGAAACGCGAUCACGGCCGUUAGAAUUACAUCGGACGGCUCGUAAAUUAUUUCCCCACACAAAUUUUAUACAGCUGGCUUUUGUGUUCGUCACGCCAAAUAAAUAACGAGGAGCUUAGACCAUUUAAUGAAUGUUUGUCACAAAAAGAGUUUUAUGAGCUAGGAAAAGUAAAUAUAAAAUUCUGAAAUUUUUACAGAGGAAUAGAAAUAAUUACUUUUCUCAAAUUUAAAUGGGAAAAAUAUUGAAUUGCUUGUUUGGUUCGAAAAUUAUGAAAAAUUAUUGCGAAAAAUCAGCUUUCCGCAAUUUUCGUUUUCCCAAAAAAAAAAAAUAAAAAAGAGUUUUUUAAUAAAAGUUAGAAAAAGAAAUUUUAAAAAAAUUAUGAUGACCCUGUUAAGCAACGAUUAUUUUUAAAUUGUAAUUGAAAUAAUCCUUUGUUCAGACUCUACAACGUUUGGAAGCAAAUAAGAAAGUCAAUAGCGGGAGAUGCAAGAAUAGAACUAUUCAGAUGGUUAAGAACGAAGUAAUCUUUCUUUUUUUAAUGUUAUUAUCUUUUUGAGUUCUUUUUUAAGAAUGUUAAUGAUGUGCUACUUAUAACUGAACUACAACUGUAACUAUAUGGAGAUUGAAAUUUGGUAUUACGUCUAAAUAUAUUUGAAUUUAAUUACUGCAGUUGGAACUAUGUGAGAAGACCCAAAUACAGUAGUUGGAAUUACAUCCAAGCUGUGGUUCUAUCUACGGUAGUUGGAAAGAGCACUUUUAAAUAAAAAAAAAAAGCUUACCUUACUAAUUUGCUGUAGUUCGAUCCACAGUAGUUGAAAGGAGUAACUUUAGAAAAAAAAAAAAGUUUACCUUACUAAUCACUGUUUAAAUAAAAAAAAAAUUUCCUUUUUUAUAUUUGAGAUACUCUUGCCACCGCAUAUAUAGAAUAAUAAAAUUUUACAAAUGCACUUUUUAACUAUAUGCAACCAAACAAAUUAUUUAUAGCUACGAUAUUUUCUAUCAUUUCUAAGAAAAUAAGGUGCAUGUCAUUAUAACUGGUAUAUUUUCAACUGAAUGCAUCUCCAAUUACACUACGUUUUUAAUUACAUCCAACCAAACAGCCCCUAAUUGCCAUCCGGCGCCCUUUUUUUUAUGUCAUUGUGCUUAGAAUCAGUAAUUUUAAUCUGAACUUAUAAUGCUGGCGUGAUUUAAUCAAAUUUGUAUUUUUGGUAAGAACGUACAGAACUUAUCCGAAAUAUAGACAAUUUUGAUUUCACUAUCCAAUCUUUCAAAAUUUUGAUUUUACUAUCUAACAUUCCUAUUUGUUUAAUUUGAUGCAAUGAACGGUACUUUACUUUUAAAAUUUGCAUGCGUCGUUUAUCUUUACAGAUUUAGUUAGUAUAUUUCAUGUAAUUCUCGUAACUACAAAUACAUUAAAAUUAGUAAUUGACUUUAAUUUUAAAAUUAAAAUGUUGUUGACUAACUCAAAUCAAAUAAUUUUAUAAGGUUAAAUAAUAAAGCCAAAAUUAUAAAAUAGCUAAAUUAAAACGGUCUAUAGUUCAGAUAAAACUAUAUAUAAGUUUUAGCCAAACUGAGCGGCAAGGUGAUUCAGAUCAUUUUGUGGGUCGUAAUGAGACGCCUUUUCUCGGACUAAGGCCCAGUACAGGCUCUUGCUCGAACCAUUCUGGGUCGAAUUGUGCCAUGCAAAUAACCAGCCAACCCAUUUUUUAUAUAUAUUUUAAUUUUUUAAUUUUAGUUCCAAUUUUUUUUAAAAAAUUUACAUUAGUUUUCAUAAAAUGCAGAUUGUUUUUUAUUAAAUAAAAAAGUUUCAGAAUUUUUCCCAAAAGUAUUUAAAAACGAAUAGUUAAAUUUUAUUCCAGCGAAGAAAAAAAUUAUCAAUAUAUUAGAAAAAAAGAGAAAACUAAAAACAAAUGGGUCAUUUCAGACUAAAUCUUAGUCACAUGUAGCAAUCACCUCCAUUACAGCAGCUUUGUCAUGGUUAUCCCUAUCUACCGCUGUGUCGUCUAUUAUCAUUAUUGCUUCCUUACCUCUCUCCUCUUGAAAAAAAAAAAAAAAAAAAAAGGCGCAAUUGCUUAUAUACCCUAAAAAGUUUUCGACUUUUCGAUUUACUCUUUUUAGAAGGCUAAUAUUAAAAAUAUUCUUUUUACGUUCCAACCUAUUUCUAAUAUACCCCUAGAGUUAAAAUCUGUUAAUUAACUCUGUUAUCUCUGUAGAAUUACUAUUUUGCCAUUUCAAAUAUACCCUUGCACCAUCAUCGACUUUUUUAUUUACCCUUAAAGUCAGUGACACAAAAAGUAUUUUGACUUUUGGUCUUUUCAUAUAUACCACUCUGCCGUCACCAGUAUUUCUUAUUUGCCCUUAAGUUAAGGGUAAAAUUGGUAUUUUAAUUUUUUUUUAAUUGUGGCAGAUAUUGAACUCACGUUUAACCCAAGUUAACUUAACAGGAGAUAACUGCGGGAGUAUUUUGUUAUAACGGUGGAACAUAUGAGGGGUAUUUUAGAAAGAAAAAAAAUAGUAGGGGUAAAUCGGAUAUUUUCAAACGUAUAAGGAGUAUAUAGGCAAUUAUCCCAAAAAUAAAUUAGGCUUUGAAUUUGAAAUUUCAAGUCAAAUACGUUAGGUAAGGGUUU
rnacentral:lncRNA from 1 species